rnacentral:rRNA from 1 species
ACUCAAAUGAAUUGACGGGGGCCCGCACAAGCGGUGGAGCAUGUGGUUUAAUUCGACGCUACGCGAAGAACCUUACCUGGGCUCGAACGACUGGUGGUAGUUCUGAUGAAAGUUGGAGCGACCCGCAAGGGAGCCAGCCGAGGUGCUGCAUGGUUGUCGUCAGCUCGUGUCGUGAGAUGUUGGGUUAAGUCCCGCAACGAGCGCAACCCCUAUCCUGUGUUGCUACCCGCAAGGGAGGACUCUCAGGAGACUGCCGCGGAUAACGUGGAGGAAGGUGGGGCCGACGUCAAAUCAUCAUGGCCUUUAUGUCCAGGGCCACACACGUGCUACAAUGGCGCGUACAACGGGAUGCAAUAGCGUAAGCUGGAGCCAAUCCUUUAAAGCGCGCCUCAGUUCAGAUUGUGGGCUGCAAUUCGCCCACAUGAAGGCGGAAUCGCUAGUAAUCGCAGAUCAGCAGGCUGCGGUGAAUACGUUCCCGGGCCUUGCACACACCGCCCGU